GUGAAGACUCCAAGACCUCAAAUGUGUGUGUCAGAAAAGAGAGACUCCAAAAGCGUGCAGUGUUGGGGGUUCUCCAGGACCAGGAUUGGGAACCACUGAAUACUUCAUCCAAAAAUGGACAUUGUGCCAUUAUUAAACUGUCAUUGUGAUAAAACAAUAACUGCAGACGGGUUUGGAACAACAAGAGGGAGAGUGGAAAGCCCAUCUAUUUUCGUGACAUGUUGCAUCUGACAUGUUCUGUGUAUUCACAGCAUGCGGCCAAAUAAACCCAGGGUUCCUUCUCUCUGAAAGCCAACCAAUCAGGAGAAAACCGAUCUGUUGUCUGAUUUGAAGGCUGAGGCUGGGAAAAUUGGCCUCAGUGUCUCAAAGGUCGUUCAGACUGCUCCAUUUAACAGCGAGGACCACUAGAGUCAUGUUCAACAAACAAAUCAAAUGUUUAUUCUGUUUGGAGUGUGGUCCAGUGAAGUGGCGGUGCCCUAUUGAGACGGAGUGCUGGGUAAUUGCACCUCUCAGUGUUCUGUUUCUCUCUGAGGUUUGGAGUGAGUGAUGAGAUUGUUGACCGUGGUGUUUCCUGGUGCCGCUAUUGUAUUGACCUGUGGAUAGAUAAACGAGCGGGGAAAGCCUUGUUUGCUGUGUUGGUCAUGCUUAUUUUUUUGUUUUUGCUUUCUUUUGCCAUGACAACUGUCCACUAGCUCCUUGUCAGUUGCUCAAUUACCACAUCACAUGGGUCGCUGGAGGCAGGAGAAACAAACAUAUCACACUAUUAUUAGUGUGUUGAGUGCCUUGUAAUAAUUU
ensembl:lncRNA